GGGGAUAUAGCUCAGUUGGUAGAGUGCUUGCCUAGCAUGCACAAGGCCCUGGGUUCAAUCCCCAGCACCACCC
rnacentral:tRNA from 1 species